CACGUAGGGCGCAAGCGUUGUCCGGAAUUAUUGGGCGUAAAGAGCUCGUAGGUGGUUUGUUACGUCCGCUGUGAAAUCCUAGGGCUUAACCCUGGGCUUGCAGUGGAUACGGGCAGACUAGAGUGUGGUAGGGGAGACUGGAAUUCCUGGUGUAGCGGUGAAAUGCGCAGAUAUCAGGAGGAACACCGAUGGCGAAGGCAGGUCUCUGGGCCACUACUGACGCUGAGAAGCGAAAGCAUGGGGAGCGAACAGG
rnacentral:rRNA from 1 species